CUUGGCCUGCCACCUAGGACUUCACAGGAGUAGCAUGCCACUCGCAAAAUGGCUAUCAUGUCCGAGUGUGGAGGAAGGGCUGGCGCAUUACAAGAAGCACAGAAGCUGUCAGCAGAGCUGAGCUCCAGAUCUGGCCUGCUUCGUGGAGAGGUUCCUUUACCUGGCAAUAUCCUGGUUUGGGUCCACCAGAGUGCUGACAAAUCUGAAGAAGAGAGAGCCUUUCCACUUCACAAAUUCUUCCUACCAAGAGCAAGGCACACACGCAAGCGAGCUUCAGUUAUCAUUCAGAUGGCAUCUGGACAUUGGACUCCUACUGCCUCAUGAUGCACAAUCCCACCAAGAUCUACCCUCACGUGCCUUUCCCAGCAGCCUCUCAAGCCAUUCUCAGAGCUGUACUCUGUACACAGUAAAAUGAGGCUGCACCCUCCAUACAGCCCUGUUUCAGGAGCAAGGGGGAGAAGCAACCUGUAUCUGGAUGCACUCCUCUCUCUCUCUAGGAGAAAGCCAAGUCCUGUAAUCUGUAUGCUUUGGGUAAGCAGAACACCUUCCCCUUGGCCCAACUGCCACCUUGGCCCCUCCCUUCUCAGCCUCCACCAAUGGUCAGCCACUCUGCACAGGAUGGAGAAAGACAGAGACCCCAUUUGGGUAGCCUGUAACCCAGCUUUCCUCCCAACUCUUUCCUUUCCUCUCUCGUGCGUCAUGUCUUUGUUUUAACUGUCAGUCUGAGGUCAGGGAUUGUGCUAGUUCUGGUUUUUGUACAGCACCCAGCUAAUUUAAACAUAGUAAUAAAUAUGCACAAUUCUCA